rnacentral:misc_RNA from 1 species
CUGCGCACCCACCUCCCCAUACCACGGCGGCGGCGGCACUUCACCAGGUCACCUGCUAGGGCGGCGGGACUUCACCAGUUCAUCUGCACGGGCAGCGGCGGGACUCCACCUGCACGGGCGGCAGCGAGACGACUUCACCAGUUCGUCUGCACGGGCGGCGACGGUGCUCCACUUGCACACGCGGUGACGGGGCUCCACUUGCACGCGCGGCGGCGGGCACAUCCUUCAGCAGAUCCGAAGCAAACAUGGCUCCAGGGAGGAAGGGAAUACGAAGCACAAGGGAACCCCCACCAGCUGGAUUCCCAUGUUGCAAAAGGUGUACAUGGCCACAACCCCACUCAUGUUGCUGACAAAACUACGCAAGGAACACGAGGAUCUAAGAGGGUUGUGGCCCCUGAUGUUCCUGGACAAGAAAUUAGAUUCACUAGGCAAAGGAGUGCUGCCAUAAACCAACAAUCCUCCUUAAGCCUAACUACUACUACACAUGCUAGUUCACGAGCCACCACAAACCAAGCAUCCACACAGAACUUGACUACCGCAACACAUUUCACUUCAAGUGUUGCCACUGAGGAAGAUUACACCGAAGGCCUGAAUACUGCUGCACAGCCUACUUCUCCCAUACAAGCUGAGGUCAAUGACCACAAUACAGAUGAAGGCAAGUGA